GUAGAGUCAGACUCUUGUUUUAUUAGAAAUUGUGAAAUCUGAAAGGAGAUGUAGCCUGAUAAAAGAUUUAUUCAUCACCUUGUUCGUCCUCCAAUCAGUCCAAAAUCUCUUGACACUUCUUCAAUUCUUCUUGAAUCUAUUCAACCUUGUUGAUCUAGAUGAACCUUGACUCCUUCUGUUUUGCCACUCUCAUUGGUAGUUGCCCCAGAACAACCUCCUCAGACACUUUACCAUCCCAACUAUGCAUUCUUCCAUGAGCCUUCUUUGUCUUGAAUCAUCUCUUUUUUUUUUUUUGGUUGGAAAGUAAGCCCUUAAUGGCAAUUUUAUAUAUAAGUAGAAAAGAAGGUUCAGAGUGUAACAAAAAAUAAAUGGGAGAGGGAUAUCUAAAAUAUUACAUUUGAGUUGCCUAAAUUAGUCACUAAAUUCUCUCAUCUUUGUCGGAUGAAGCUGCUAGCUGACCUUCCACCGUCGUUGUCAUUAGGUGGUGCAAGAUGCUCCUCCGUCGUCCUCUCCGGUGAGUCCUCUUCUUCUCUGCUGUCAGCUUCAUCUCCUUAUUUUCUUUCUCUCGAGAUAACUUCUGUUCUCUAUGUGAUUCACGCGCUGAGUUUGAGUGACCAUGGUCUUCAACUUCAUCAUCUGGAGGAUUAAUGUAGAUCCCAUUGCUCUGCAUUUCAGAUCUAACCCAAAACAGAGUUUGUGGCCAGUUCGACUUCUGUGCUUCGUGACUGAGUUCCGAGGCUGUUUGAUGAGCAUUCUAAGAUGAGCUCUUGGAUGGAUUCGCUGCCCGGAUGACUCUUCUCUACUCUUGUCUUUAUAUUCUAUCAUUUAGACAGAUAUUUAUGUAUACUUGAGACUUGUAUCUCCUAGACAUUAUGUAAUGGCUCUUGUACCAUUCAGACCAGAUUUUGAGAUUCCGCACUUAUCUUAUUUAUCUAUUUAUGUUAGACUUAUUAUGUAA